rnacentral:rRNA from 1 species
CCCUACGGGGCGCAGCAGGCGCGAAACCUUCACAAUGUGCGAAAGCACGAUGAGGGGAUCCCAAGUGUUGGUUCGUAAGAAUCAACUGUUUCUCCGUCUAAAAAACAGAGAGAGUAAGAACUGGGUAAGACGGGUGCCAGCCGCCGCGGUAAUACCUGCAGUUCAAGUGGUGGCCACUAUUAUUGGGCCUAAAACGUCCGUAGCCGGUUCAGUAAAUGCCUGAGUAAAUUGUGUAGCUUAACUAUACGAAUAUCGGGUAGACUGCUAAACUUGAGACCGGGAGAGGCUAGGGGUACUCCUAGGGUAGAGGUGAAAUUCUGUAAUCCUAGGGGGACCACCAGUGGCGAAGGCGUCUAGCCAGAACGGGUCUGACGGUGAGGGACGAAGCCCUGGGUCACAAACCGGGUUAGAUACCCGGGUAGUCCAGGGUGUAAACGCUGCUCGCUUGAUGUUAGUUGGGCUCCGAGCCCAACUAGUGUCGGAGAGAAGUUGUUAAGCGAGCUGCCUGGGAAGUACGGUCGCAAGGCUGAAACUUAAAGGAAUUGGCGGGGGAGCAC